AUCAGGGCACAGGUCAGGGAUGGAGGACAAUUCAUCUUUACAGCUCAGAAGGUUGAUACCCCAAUUCUGCUCCCAGACCUGCCACUGACUCAUCCAUGCCCUCGAUUCUUGGUGUGACCCUGAUUUUCCAAUCUGUGAGCCAAAUCCCUGAGCUGGAUUCUGGGCAAGCUGUGGGGUGAGCCAGCACCUUCCCAGCCAUGAAUCUGCCUGAGUUUUGUUGUUCUUUUAAACGUUUCCUUGCAGGGAUUUUUGAGACAACUCUUUUCAAGUUACUUUUUUGUCACCACGGCAGGGAAAGAGGAAGCAGAGAUUGACAAUGUGCAGACGAGGCAAAAUCUGCAUGAUGUGAUUUAAUAGAACAAUAAGCAGCAGCUGGUGCCUUCCACUCGAGCUUUCAGAAGAAGCACUGAGAUAUCUUUGAAGACACCACAGGGCAAAGAAUUGUGAAGAAAAGAACAGCUGCAGCAUCCACAACACGGACAAGGCCAGGGCUGUGGAAUGGAAAAGGAGACUUUGGUAACGGGAAACCCACACAAAGCUGGUUUGUGCCAUAAAUCCCACAAAAUGCUGCUCAUUUUUCCCUGGAGGGGACAAUGAGUGCUCUGGGCUGGUGAUCGGGUGGGGGUCGGGCACGGGAUGGUCCAGGAGGGCUUUUCCAGCCCGGAUGAUUCUGUGACAGCUGUAGGGCUCAAGUUCUUUCCAAAUUUCUGCUUGAAAGCAGAAUGAAGCUGUGGCAAUAGAAAGCCCUUCCCAAAGAGAUGCGAAUUCCCAUUAAAUACCCCAGGUAUUCAAUUUAAAUAGCGCUCGGUGUGAUCCUGCAGGAGAGGAGGGAUCUCCUUCCCCCAGGAGCACUUUUGGGGUGAUUAUCCCAGGAUCGUUUAAUUGUCCCUGUUUUAUCCAUCCCAUCUGAGCCGGCCGAGAAUUCGAAGCAGAAGGCUCAGCCAGCUCUGGGUGUUCCCAGCCCUUCCACCCAAAGCCAGGCAGGAACUUCACAAAAUUGAGGGGAGCAGGGAGCGUUUCCAGGGCUGGGGGAGGUGGGAAUGUCCCCAUGGGGAGCAGGGACAAGGAGCUGGAAUGGCAGCUGGAGGUUUGCUCCAGCCUGGCACUGCCAGCUCCCCUCUCCUGC